UUAUAAGAGACAGCAGUCGCCGCGGUAAUACAGAGGGUGCGAGCGUUAAUCGGAUUUACUGGGCGUAAAGCGUGCGUAGGCGGCUUUUUAAGUCGGAUGUGAAAUCCCUGAGCUUAACUUAGGAAUUGCAUUCGAUACUGGGAAGCUAGAGUAUGGGAGAGGAUGGUAGAAUUCCAGGUGUAGCGGUGAAAUGCGUAGAGAUCUGGAGGAAUACCGAUGGCGAAGGCAGCCAUCUGGCCUAAUACUGACGCUGAGGUACGAAAGCAUGGGGAGCAAACAGGAUUAGAUACCCCCGUAGUCCCUGUCUCUUAUAC
rnacentral:rRNA from 1 species